UUGUUAAAUUAUCGGAAACUGGUAACGCUAGGAUAGUGUUUUUCUUUCACUGUCUAAGCCAUGCAUUACAUUUAAAUUUAAAGGUGGUAAAUCACAUUUGAGUAUCAUUUCAACAUGACCAAACUUUAUUAUCUGAUAUUGUAGAUAUCCAAGGUGCCUGAACCACGUGACUUUUUCGGCUAUGUGUGGGACAAUCGGAUGUAAACAAAACGUCGCUUCAGUGUGGCAGAGAGGUCAAAACACGGUCGGGGAUCUCCUAACACAAAGCCACCCACGCACGGACAGGAAAAAAGUUCCGUCGGGCAAACUUUUUCUUGUUUGUUUCUAUAAAAUUGAUUGUUACAAAAUGUUGAAUUUUCAGUGAAUUGUUACUGCCGACUAAUGCACUUGUUUAAUACACAAAAUCGUAAGGAUUAUUUGUGCAAGAUGUCAUGUGAAUAUUAUUGCAACAAAACUACAAAAAGUGUUAGUUGUGUGUUUUUUAGCAGGAAUGUGUAGGCAUUUUUUACUGUAACCAAUUUAAUAAAUAAGCAUAAAGAGAUCAUACAGCAUUUUUAAACAAAUAGACACUAGGAUCAAUGACAUUUUUUUCUGGAAAAUCAUGUAUUUGUAUGUAAAUCCUAUUGAGCUAUCUGAUAUAUCACACAUGCUAUUUUUUAAGUUUAACAGUUUAUAUCAGUUGUAUUUUGUUCUUUUCAGGGAGAUUAAAGUAUUUUUGGAAGCACCUUCAAGAGACGUACUGAUAUCUUUAUCAAUGAAAAGUUGUCAUACAAACAUGUAUAGUAAAUGUUCCAAAGUUUAAAUGACUCUUUGAUUUAUUACCAGAUGGUGCAAGUAUUGCAGGGAAAGAAAACAAUCAAAAUAAACAUUACAUAAAAAUUUGACAUUUCAACAAAUUGAACAACAUUAUAUGAUUUAAUGUUAAUUACUUGGUGCAGUGGUAACAAGAUCUUGCAGCGCCCUUUCAUGACCGGGGCGAAUGAGUAUUUUCAUUAAACAUCUCAAACUAUUGUCAGUUAUUCAACUUUCAUUUGAAUUUGAGUAAAUUAAGUAUUGAUGCAAUUCAAUAUGUUUGUUGGUAUAAUGACCCCCACAAGUCAAGACGUUUUGGCGAUGAUCAUUUGUUAUGACUUAAUUGAAGCAUUCAUAUGUUUGAAUAGCAAGAUUUGCAAAUUCAUAAAUUGACUGAUUACAAUUUCUUUGUGAAUACUAAUGUACUUCUUUAUGUAUUUGGCGCUUUAAUUUCUAUUGUUACAUGUGCAUGCUAGUUAUAAAGUAAUGGUAUUAUUAA